GUACACUCCUGCGGGAGGCAGCAGUGGGGAAUAUUGAACAAUGGGCGCAAGCCUGAUCCAGCCAUGCCGCGUGAGUGAUGAAGGCCCUAGGGUUGCAAAGCUCUUUCACCGGUGAAGAUAAUGACGGUAACCGGAGAAGAAGCCCCGGCUAACUUCGUGCCAGCAGCCGCGGUAAUACGAAGGGGGCUAGCGUUGUUCGGAUUUACUGGGCGUAAAGCGCACGUAGGCGGACUAUUAAGUCAGGGGUGAAAUCCCGGGGCUCAACCCCGGAACUGCCUUUGAUACUGGUAGUCUUGAGUUCGAGAGAGGUGAGUGGAAUUCCGAGUGUAGAGGUGAAAUUCGUAGAUAUUCGGAGGAACACCAGUGGCGAAGGCGGCUCACUGGCUCGAUACUGACGCUGAGGUGCGAAAGCGUGGGGAGCAAACAGGAUUAGAAACCCCAGUAGUCCCAUG
rnacentral:rRNA from 1 species